rnacentral:rRNA from 1 species
UCUGAUGUUAGCGGCGGACGGGUGAGUAACACGUGGAUAACCUACCUAUAAGACUGGGAUAACUUCGGGAAACCGGAGCUAAUACCGGAUAAUAUUUUGAACCGCAUGGUUCAAAAGUGAAAGACGGUCUUGCUGUCACUUAUAGAUGGAUCCGCGCUGCAUUAGCUAGUUGGUAAGGUAACGGCUUACCAAGGCAACGAUGCAUAGCCGACCUGAGAGGGUGAUCGGCCACACUGGAACUGAGACACGGUCCAGACUCCUACGGGAGGCAGCAGUAGGGAAUCUUCCGCAAUGGGCGAAAGCCUGACGGAGCAACGCCGCGUGAGUGAUGAAGGUCUUCGGAUCGUAAAACUCUGUUAUUAGGGAAGAACAUAUGUGUAAGUAACUGUGCACAUCUUGACGGUACCUAAUCAGAAAGCCACGGCUAACUACGUGCCAGCAGCCGCGGUAAUACGUAGGUGGCAAGCGUUAUCCGGAAUUAUUGGGCGUAAAGCGCGCGUAGGCGGUUUUUUAAGUCUGAUGUGAAAGCCCACGGCUCAACCGUGGAGGGUCAUUGGAAACUGGAAAACUUGAGUGCAGAAGAGGAAAGUGGAAUUCCAUGUGUAGCGGUGAAAUGCGCAGAGAUAUGGAGGAACACCAGUGGCGAAGGCGACUUUCUGGUCUGUAACUGACGCUGAUGUGCGAAAGCGUGGG